AACUAUGGACUUGUCUGCAUGUGUUUUUCCCCUGUGACCCAGUUUCUGUCUCUCCUCGAUUGUUAAUUAGUUCCCAGGUGUGUCUCCUUAGCUCCCUCGUUACCCUGUCUUUAUAAGCAAUGUCCUUUCAGUUCAGUUUUUGUUGGGUCUACCAGUUCCAUAUGUAAUGAUCUCUUGAGGACCAUACCAGACAGUUCCUGUUAUUUGUUCACAUCACCAGCUAACCGGAUGACAUGCUCUGCACUUUCUAUGACGUGAGCCUGAACGCCGAGUGUAGAGCGUUGUCGUCCGAAGAUGGUCCUCGGGAGGAAUUUGCUGCCAUUGUGGAGUGUACUCUGGUGAGAAACGGGUUGCCUCUUACCAUCUGCCCCAUGGAGGAUCUCGCCGGAUCCGCUCCCGACCCAGAGCCCAGCCUACCAUCUCCCCAUGGUACAGAGCAUACGCUUAAGCCCACUGAUGAUGGAGAGCCAGAGCCCAACCCGUCAGACCAGGUGUGAGAGCCGGCUACAGAGCCCACCACACUGGUCCCGUCCAGUCCUCCUUCAUCCUUGGUUUCCUCUAGCCCUGAGGGGGCCUCCGAUCCUCCAGUGCCUGCUCCUAGAAAGUGUCCUAUAGUGCCUGCUUCUAGAAUAUGUCCUCCAGUCCCUGCUCCUAGAAUUUGCCCUCCAGUGGCCACUCCUCCAAAAUGACCGCCCUCCCACCCGUUCCUGCCUCCUCCAUCGAUGGUGGGCACCUCACCCCGCCAUCUAUGCAGUGCGAGCCCCACGGGAUUGCCAUCCUCCAAGCAUCACCGUGGUUGGAGUCUCCCUCACCUCCGCCUCUAGCCUCAGGCCUGGACUCCGCCUUGGCCCAUAGUCCCAGUGGCUCCACCUCGGCUCCUAGAUCUCUCACCUCCACCGUCAACCAUCGAUCCAUCAGAUCCACCGGGCUCCCUUGUCCCUGGUCAGUCAUCAACCUGCCAUCACUUCUGGACUCCUCCUCUCCACUGGCUGCGCCUAGUCGGUCCAUCCUACCCGCUCCGUUGGGCUCCUUCCUCCCACCAGCUCCACCUUGGUCCUCAGACGCUCUGGCUCCGCUGCGGAUCUCUGGAUCUCCGCCUCCGCUUUAGCCCUUGGCUCCACCCUGGCCCCCCGGAUCCUCGGCAUCCCCCUGGCUCAAUGGCUCUCCAUCUCGGGCUCCUCCUCCACCGCUGUUGGUCGGCCCCCUGGAGUCGGUGGCCAUUCCUCUUCCAUGGAUCCUUCCACCGUCGGCUUCACCUUGGGCUGCUGUUAUGGUUGUGGCCUGGGUCCUGCUGUGCUCCUCCUGUCUCCUCCCUCUGUCGUCUCCGCCCUCCGUGGUCUCUGUCUGCCGGCCCCCUCCUGUGGGUCUGUCCUUCACUAGAGCCUCCUCCCAAGCUCCCACCUGUGCCUCCUCCUGUUGUUGCCUGGGGUGCAAGGACGCACCUUCCAGGAGGGGCCGAAAUGUCAGAACUAGGACUAGGACUUUUCUGUGUGUGUUUUUUCCGUUGUGACCCAGUUUCUCUGUCUCCUUUGAUUGUUGAUUAGUUCCCAGGUGUGUCUCCUUAGUUCCCUUGUUAGCCUGUCUUUUAUAAGCAAUGUCCUUUCAGUUCAGUUUUUGUCAGGUCUACCAGUCAAGUACAUGUGUCUUCUACCUGUUCUCCAUGUUGGAUUUGCCCCUGUGUUGAAUUAAUAAAGACUCUUUCGAUUA